rnacentral:lncRNA from 1 species
CCAGAUGUGAGAUAGUCUUGGGAGUGGGGAAAGCUGAUUGGUCCCUGAAUGUUCUUCACAAAUUCUCAGAUCCAUAUCAUUCUGGUAGCCUCAUCUCCCCAUCAGGUGAUUCUGAACGCAUGGACUGUUUGCUUAUCACAUACAACUCUGUCACAAUCUGUGAGGACAUCUGAGCUCAUGAACAAGAAAGCAGCAUGUUACACAGUGCUCUUGUGGCGAUCAGAGGACCACUUUGUGAAAUCAGCUCUCUCCUGACACCUUCCCAUGAAAUCCAGGGAUAAAACCCAGCCCCCCCCCCCUCCAGGCUUGCAUGGUGAGUGCUUCAUCAUCCAAGCCAUCUUGCCAGCUCAAAUGCCAUUUAUUAAGCAUCUAUCAAGCCCCAGACACUGGUCCAAAUGCCUCACUUGGAAUGUUAUUUUUCACUCCUAAACUCUGCAAGCCCAACAUUACCUUCAUUUUACGAUGUGGAAAUGAAUUUCAGGAGAUGAAAAAUAAGAAAAUGUCUAAGGACAAUAGACUUGCACCCUAGGUCUGGCUGUCUCUAGAAGCUU